UACGAAGGGGGCUAGCGUUGCUCGGAAUCACUGGGCGUAAAGCGCACGUAGGCGGGUCGUUAAGUCGGGGGGUGAAAUCCUGGAGCUCAACUCCAGAACUGCCUUCGAUACUGGCGAUCUUGAGUCUGGGAGAGGUGAGUGGAACUCCGAGUGUAGAGGUGAAAUUCGUAGAUAUUCGGAAGAACACCAGUGGCGAAGGCGGCUCACUGGCCCGGUACUGACGCUGAGGUGCGAAAGCGUGGGGAGCAAACAGG
rnacentral:rRNA from 1 species